CACGUAGGGGGCGAGCGUUGUCCGGAUUUAUUGGGCGUAAAGAGCUCGUAGGCGGUCUGUCGCGUCGGUCGUGAAAACUUGGGGCUUAACCCUGAGCUUGCGGUCGAUACGGGCAUGACUGGAGUUCGGCAGGGGAGACUGGAAUUCCUGGUGUAGCGGUGAAAUGCGCAGAUAUCAGGAGGAACACCGGUGGCGAAGGCGGGUCUCUGGGCCGAUACUGACGCUGAGGAGCGAAAGCGUGGGGAGCGAACAGG
rnacentral:rRNA from 1 species